GACGAACGCUGGCGGCGUGCUUAACACAUGCAAGUCGAACGGCAAGGCCCUGCUUUUGUGGGGUUCUCGAGUGGCGAACGGGUGAGUAACACGUGUGUAUCCUGCCCUUGACUUUGGGAUAGCUUCAGGAAACUGGGGUUAAGACCGUAUCGCAGCCCCUGCUCCAUGGUGGGGGUUGGAAAUUUUCGGCGGGUGCGGAUGGACUCGCGGCUAAUCAGCUUGUUGGUGGGGUAGGGGCUUACCAAGGCUUUGACGGGUAGCCGGCCUGUGAGGGUGACCGGCCACAUUGGUACUGAGAUACGGACCAGACUCCUACGGGAGGCAGCAGGGGGGAAUAUUGCACAGUGGGCGGAAGCCUGAUGCAGCAACGCCGCGUGCGUGAUGACGGCCUUCGGGUUGUAAACCGCUUUCGCCUGUGACGAAGCGUGAGUGACGGUAAUGGGUAAAGAAGCACCGGCUAACUACGUG
rnacentral:rRNA from 1 species